rnacentral:rRNA from 1 species
GUGGAUGCCCUGGCAGUCAGAGGCGAUGAAGGGCGUGCUAAUCUGCGAUAAGCGCCGGUAAGGUGAUAUGAACCGUUAUAACCGGCGAUACCCGAAUGGGGAAACCCAGUGUGACUCGUCACACUAUCAUUAACUGAAUCCAUAGGUUAAUGAGGCGAACCGGGGGAACUGAAACAUCUAAGUACCCCGAGGAAAAGAAAUCAACCGAGAUUCCCCCAGUAGCGGCGAGCGAACGGGGAGGAGCCCAGAGCCUGAAUCAGCAUGUGUGUUAGUGGAAGCGUCUGGAAAGGCGCGCGAUACAGGGUGACAGCCCCGUACACAAAAGCGCAUGUGCUGUGAGCUCGAUGAGUAGGGCGGGACACGUGGUAUCCUGUCUGAAUAUGGGGGGACCAUCCUCCAAGGCUAAAUACUCCUGACUGACCGAUAGUGAACCAGUACCGUGAGGGAAAGGCGAAAAGAACCCCGGCGAGGGGAGUGAAAAAGAACCUGAAACCGUGUACGUACAAGCAGUGGGAGCCCCACCACCAAAGCAUUUGCUGUACCGCGUUGACGGAGCGAAGCGACGUCAAACCGAUAAAACAGCAGUGUAAAGUGAGCCGCAGGGCGCUUUGCGCGACAGCGCAAAGGCAGGCGGUUUCGCGUAGCGAAAGCGAAUGCUUUGGGGUGGGGUGACUGCGUACCUUUUGUAUAAUGGGUCAGCGACUUAUAUUCUGUAGCAAGGUUAACCGAAUAGGGGAGCCGGAGGGAAACCGAGUCUUAAUUGGGCGUUAAGUUGCAGGGUAUAGACCCGAAACCCGGUGAUCUAGCCAUGGGCAGGUUGAAGGUUGGGUAACACUAACUGGAGGACCGAACCGACUAAUGUUGAAAAAUUAGCGGAUGACCUGUGGCUGGGGGUGAAAGGCCAAUCAAACCGGGAGAUAGCUGGUUCUCCCCGAAAGCUAUUUAGGUAGCGCCUCGUGAAUUCAUCUCCGGGGGUAGAGCACUGUUUCGGCUAGGGGGCCAUCCCGGCUUACCAACCCGAUGCAAACUGCGAAUACCGGAGAAUGUUAUCACGGGAGACACACGGCGGGUGCUAACGUCCGUCGUGAAGAGGGAAACAACCCAGACCGCCAGCUAAGGUCCCAAAGUCAUGGUUAAGUGGGAAACGAUGUGGGAAGGCCCAGACAGCCAGGAUGUUGGCUUAGAAGCAGCCAUCAUUUAAAGAAAGCGUAAUAGCUCACUGGUCGAGUCGGCCUGCGCGGAAGAUGUAACGGGGCUAAACCAUGCACCGAAGCUGCGGCAGCGACACUGUGUGUUGUUGGGUA